GAUGAACGCUGGCGGCGUGCCUAAUACAUGCAAGUCGAGCGAACAGAUGAGGAGCUUGCUCCUCUGACGUUAGCGGCGGACGGGUGAGUAACACGUGGAUAACCUACCUAUAAGACUGGGAUAACUUCGGGAAACCGGAGCUAAUACCGGAUAAUAUAUUGAACCGCAUGGUUCAAUAGUGAAAGACGGUUUUGCUGUCACUUAUGGAUGGAUCCGCGCCGCAUUAGCUAGUUGGUAAGGUAACGGCUUACCAAGGCAACGAUGCGUAGCCGACCUGAGAGGGUGAUCGGCCACACUGGAACUGAGACACGGUCCAGACUCCUACGGGAGGCAGCAGUAGGGAAUCUUCCGCAAUGGGCGAAAGCCUGACGGAGCAACGCCGCGUGAGUGAUGAAGGUCUUCGGAUCGUAAAACUCUGUUAUUGGGGAAGAACAAAUGUGUAAGUAACUAUGCACGUCUUGACGGUACCUAAUCAGAAAGCCACGGCUAACUACGUG
rnacentral:rRNA from 1 species